GUGGGGAAUUUUGGACAAUGGGCGCAAGCCUGAUCCAGCAAUGCCGCGUGCAGGAAGAAGGCCUUCGGGUUGUAAACUGCUUUUGUACGGAACGAAACGGUCCGGGUUAAUACCCUGGGCUAAUGACGGUACCGUAAGAAUAAGCACCGGCUAACUACGUGCCAGCAGCCGCGGUAAUACGUAGGGUGCAAGCGUUAAUCGGAAUUACUGGGCGUAAAGCGUGCGCAGGCGGUUUUGUAAGACAGGCGUGAAAUCCCCGGGCUCAACCUGGGAAUUGCGCUUGUGACUGUAAGGCUGGAGUGCGGCAGAGGGGGAUGGAAUUCCGCGUGUAGCAGUGAAAUGCGUAGAUAUGCGGAGGAACACCGAUGGCGAAGGCAAUCCCCUGGGCCUGCACUGACGCUCAUGCACGAAAGCGUGGGGAGCAAACAGGAUUAGAUACCCUUGUAGUCC
rnacentral:rRNA from 1 species